rnacentral:rRNA from 1 species
GAUGAACGCUGGCGGCGUGCUUAACACAUGCAAGUCGAACGGAAAGGCCCUGCUUUUGUGGGGUGCUCGAGUGGCGAACGGGUGAGUAACACGUGAGUAACCUGCCCUUGACUUUGGGAUAACUUCAGGAAACUGGGGCUAAUACCGGAUAGGAGCUCCUGCUGCAUGGUGGGGGUUGGAAAGUUUCGGCGGUUGGGGAUGGACUCGCGGCUUAUCAGCUUGUUGGUGGGGUAGUGGCUUACCAAGGCUUUGACGGGUAGCCGGCCUGAGAGGGUGACCGGCCACAUUGGGACUGAGAUACGGCCCAGACUCCUACGGGAGGCAGCAGUGGGGAAUAUUGCACAAUGGGCGGAAGCCUGAUGCAGCAACGCCGCGUGCGGGAUGACGGCCUUCGGGUUGUAAACCGCUUUCGCCUGUGACGAAGCGUGAGUGACGGUAAUGGGUAAAGAAACACCGGCUAACUACGUG